UCUGAAAAAGGAAAUAUUCAAAGAAACAGUGCUUUGUAUGAGACAGGCAGAAGAAAACUGUGAGAAACUUUUCUACUAAACCGUGUACACACAAGCACGCAGCUGUACAUAUGCAUAAUCUGGUUAUUGUUUACUUUUUUGAAUUGCUUUUGAGGAUGCAGAGACAACUUUUCAAGGCCUCCAGCACACAGAAACUCCAUGGAUUUCAGAUAAUGAUCAGUGAUGAAGCUGGCUGCAUAGCAGUUAAGAAUAUCCACCUGGAUUACCUUCUGAAACAGAUGCUUAGGAAGUAUUUUUACUGAAAACAGUUUUUUGGUUUAUCCUUUAAACUAGCCUGACCAAGUAAGUUGGCUGUGACAGGCUCACUGCAUCAUUUGUGUGUGUCAACUUUUACUGGUUGUGUGGGGGUGUGAGAUGGGUCCUUAAUGGAUGUGUCACCAACUGGGCACUGUUUGCUGUCCCUUUACAGCUCAGCUCUGAAGUUAAUGCAAACAACAUGCAGAGCAUUGCCCAGUGCUGUGCAAAUGGAUGCAGUGUUUAUGUUCUACUCAAAACUAGGAGACACUGUCUGAUGAAUCUGAUCCUGGAUUGCAUGUUACUUACUUUUUGUAUUGGGAGAGGUUGGAAUCAACUCAUAAAAUUGAGCAAUUUUGUAAGAGAUUCAAUGAGUUUUUUCAAAGCCCUGCACUCUGGACAUUUCAGUUUUGAUCCAAAAUGACUGGUAUUGUUUCAUGUCUCUAGUGAAAUCCCACAACAAAUACAUAUAAUUUUACUUUCCACAUGUUGCUGGGGGCCUAAUCUCUGAAUUUCCCAGGAGAAAACCCAACCAUGUGUUUCAGACAGCUAUGCUUUAUGCUGUAUUUACUUUUUUUUUAAGAAAAGCAAGUUUUAGCAUUUGUUCCCAUCCCUACCUACUUUCUUGAGAUUCACAUAUUUUUAGUUUUCAUGCAGUUUAACCCCUACCAUGUAAGAGCUGGAUCCUCUCAUGCUGCUGUGCACCUGGGAAUGUGUAUGUACAGACUGAUGUCAGUAAAGCUUUUGGGGUGUUUGUGCUAUGUAUGCACUUCCUGCUUUUUCCUGAGAUAUCAACAUGUUUAAGCAGGCCUUUUACUGUGCUUUACCAUGGCUGCUAACAUCCAGUUUCAUGGAGACUUGCUUACAGAAGACUGUGCUAGCUAAGAAUGCUCUGCUUUGGAUGAUUCUUCCAUUUUCCAUUGUCCUCAUUUUUCUUUCCCUAUCCAUUCACUCUGUCGCAAGAGGAACUUCCAGAUGGAAAGAUUCACAUGAAAAUAGAUAUCUGUUAACUGCUUAACAGAAUAUGAAGUUCAUCAAGGGCAAAUGCAGAGUUCUUCACCUGGAAGAGUAACUUCAGGCAUCAGCACAGGCUGGGGACUGAUCUGGGGAAAGCAGCUCCGUGAAGAAGGACCUGGGUGUCCUGGUAGAUGAAAGUUGGUGAGCCAACAGUGUGUCCUUGUAGCCAAGAAGGCCAUUGGUAUCCUGGGGUGGAUAGGAAGAACAUGGACAGCAGGUCAAGGGACCCUCUGCUCAGUCCUGAUAAAGCAACAUCUGGAGUGCUUUUCCAGUUCUGGGCUCCUCAGUGCAAGACAUGGAACUCCUGGAGGGCAGCAAAGAUGAUUAAGGGAUUGGAACAUCUCUCAGAAGGACAGGCUGAGGGAGCUGGGCCUGUUCAGCCUUGAGAAGAGAUGAUGACAGAGAAGGAAACUCAUCAAUGUCUGUUCAUCACGAAGCAGGACAGAACACUGGGUCAGUCAAAUGCUGGGUCCUAACUUCACAGCUGCAUAAUGCAGUGACAUGCUGCUGUCUGUUCUCUGGGAGCAGGGUAAGGAGCCUUACACCUAGGCAAGGCUUACAGUGCAGUGGCAGACUGAACUCUGCUGCUUGGAUAACGCUAAAAUACCCCUCUAAGAGAAGACUGGUCUGUACUCUGGUGGACAACAGAGAUAGGUAUUUGACUUUAAAUAACUCUGUCAGUUUUUGCAGGUGACAAGAUUCAGGAAGGGAAAACCAACUGUCAGGCAAAUUUUCUGAAGAUUACUAUUUUAGUUGGAAGCGAUGGAAAUAAAGAUCAAGACAAGGAGGCUGACUCUGAACCCUUGACAAAAGGCUUCUGCUCUAAAAUGCAUGGAUAGUCCCAAGCAUGAAAUGGCUCAAGAAGGCUGUGAGUAACAAUUAAGUUUACAUGUCUUAACAUUAAAGUGAGUGCUUACGGAGAGCUGAGGCUUGUUAACAAAUUUUGAGCACAAUCUUUGCACACUGAGAUGUGUAUACUCUCUAAAAUCAAGUAUUUGUUCCUAUAAGAUGGCAGGAAUACAAUAUUCUCUUGCAUGGAUGUACAGGUCUCCAAAAAUACACUUGCAGUAGGCAUGGUGAACUCUGUUUAAGUAAAAAAAGCAUCUUUGUUUACAGAGACAGCACACAUUUAACUGUGGUAACUUUUAAUCUAUUAAUUGAAUUGCCAUAAACUAAUCUCUAGAGAACCUUUAUAUGUUUCACACUUGGCAAGUUGUGCAGACUUUCCACCCUUCUGUUAUUAUUCAACUUCUUUGUCAUCUUAGUUGUCUGUAAAUGCCUAAACCUUUAUGGAAUGAAGUUUUUUCUCCCUCCACAGAUUCAGUCUUUCUUAAAGAACUGAGUGAAAGAAAUGCAGCAACUUCUUGAAACCUUGAAUGAAAUUUCCCCAUGACACCUUGCUCUUUUUUUUUUUUUUUUUUUUUUUUUUGGUAUGGUUUUUGUUUGUUUGCCCACACACAGGUGGGAAGUUGCAAUAUCAAACCACAGCCUGCUCAAACAGCCUGACCUUUAGCAGAGGGGAAGCUCAGAGAGAGAUAUAAGAGUUUACAGUGUCCAGCACUGAUGUGUUAGUGCAGGUUGUGCCUGGUGGGCUGAGCAUAUGAGGGCUGUUAAGGGAAAGAGUCCUCCUACUGACAUAAAUGUCAAGAUCCUUCCUAAAGCACCAUCACACAUCAAUUACAGGGAACUUGCAGCUAGAAAUGAAAAUGAAGUUCUUGUGAUCUGUGUAUUUACAAAGGCAGCUUGAUAUUGUACAGCUUUAAAUGCUUUUCAUUUCUUUCCUGUCAGAGUUUGAGCUAGUUGCAUUCAACAGAAGCCAGGUUCACGUUUUGCAGUUAAUAUCCAAAACUGAGUUAGCAGCUUCAUCCCUGACACUAUAGAUAGACACUAGAGAGUCACAGUAAACCGAACCUUUAUGUCUACACCCAUUGUGGACAGAGAACCAGUCACAGUGUGUUUGCACAUCCUCUGUGUUCAGCUGUAGGAGAGAACUAUAUUGCAUACAUAAAUCUUGGGAAGCAGCCUCUCCUGAAUACUCACCAGAUCCUAUAAGAGCACAGAUCAGCACCAUGGAGUUAUAUUUUAUUUCUGGAGCACUCCUGUCGUCUGAGAGCAGUCUGUGUAGAAUCUGAACAAGCUGAGCAUUUUCAAGAUCCUUUUCAGCAGUGACUGAAAUACAAGUGAAAAUUUGUAAGUCUGGAAAUGCCACUUGCUUUGACACUUCCAUGUGUUAUCCCUUUCCUGAAACAUGAUCUCUCACCAGAGUGAAAGUGAGGCUGUGGUACAUAACUCAUUGGUAUAAAACUCAAGCACAUAUUUGAUGGUAUGAUGACAAGAAUCACAGCUCUUGCUAUAAAAAUGUGAGGUUGUCUAACUGGUUGAAAGGACAGUCACAGAGUUUAAUGAUGAAAUCCAGUGCAGUAAGCUGAUGGAAAAGCCAUGAGGUUUUCUAGCUAUUUAGGCCAACACCUGGAAUAUUUCAGCUUUCAAGACUUCCAUUGCCUGAAUUUGCUUUUGAAAAUUCUGAGUAAAUAUAGAUUGUGUAGUUCUUGAUUCCAUGGUAGAGGGAGCUGAGGGUCCAUUAUAAAGCCUGUGGAAAACUUUUCAAGAUCUCUAUUUGAGUUACUGUCUCUGUAGCUUUCUAAGAUACAUGAACUGAAUUUGGGCUCAAUCUUUAAAUGCCUGAAGACAAGACAAAGAGAUUCAUGUGGAUAGGAACAUCUUUCCUUUUAUUAAAAACAAUUCCUUGAUGUAUUGGCAAUAAUUUGAAAGUUGAACAGAGCAUUCCUGCAGUAAACAAUGGAUGAAAUUGAGAGCAAAAAUAUUUAAGGUUGCUUCUUUAGUUCCUUAGUUAAUAAGUAAGCAAAUAAGAUAAACAAAACCUCUGUUUAGCAUUUAUUUUCCUGUUUGAAAACCUGAGGUACUACAAACGCAGGUCAAGAUGUGUAAUCAUGUCUGCCUUCAGAUGGCAAUUCUUGCACUUAUUCUGGGUAAUUUAAUGAAGACAUGUUGGGGGUGUUACCCACCUCCUUGUAUUCUCUAAUUCUUACUUAUCAAAGUGAAGUGUCCACUUACCUAGUAAGCUCUCUCAAAAGCGGAUUAACAUUCUAGUGUAGGAAUGUGGUCAGAUCAUAUAGUCUCUAGUUUAAGGUAUGUUUGCUUUCUGGGUUUUACUCCAAAUCUGAAAGUUAAGCUGGAGGGCCUUUCUAGAUCACACCACCACCUACCAGAAUGAUGGAGCAGAUCCCAUGAAACCAGCACUCUCGAACUUCCUGCAUAACAUGAUGGCUUGCCUGUGUCCAUGAACCACCACAGAAAUACUGAAAGGCAGGUAGAAGGAGGAGGCUAUUCUACAUUGCAUUCUCCCUCUCUGGCUUCUAUUGGGCACAGACUGGAAAGGAAACAGGUGGAGUGAACUUCUGGGAUACUCACCUAACUCUAGAGCUGCUAUCAAUGCCAGUGCAACGAGAGCUUCAUUUUGCAUUAUUACAUGUUCGCUGGUCGCCAUGGUUACUAAAUGCUUGAUGCCGCCGCUCUGUACAAUGGUCCUAAUUACAUCCUAAAAUAAAUAAUGCAGAAAUGAAAAAAUUCUGCAUUCCAUACAAGCUGUAUUAAAUAAGGGAAUUGUCAGGGAUGCUGUGUUAUCUUAGUGUAAGUGUACUUGGCUUUAAGCACAUAGAAUCACUUUACACAUCAAUGUACACACAUGCAGGCCUCCAUAUUAUCUGUUACUGCUCUGCAAUUUUAAGGUACAGAGUGUUAAACCAAGGCAGGUAACCCCAUAACUAAGUUAAGACACAUAUAAUAAACUCUUUCCAGGUUAUAUGGUAUAAUUCAAAUUCUCACACUGCCAUCAAUCAUCAAAUAAUUAGGGGUUCAAAGUAUCUAACAAUAUAUAUACUUAGGGUAAAGGAAACACACAAACAUAGUUAUAAUAAAGCCAUUAAAUGCUUCAUCUCUCUCUACAAAUUUUCAGAGUUUAUUCAAAAUGUUCAGAGAGGUGAGAUCACAAAUAUUACACCAUACUAUGUAAUAGAAAUGGUGUACUUGAAAAGCUAUUGACUGGGAAAUGAGCAGUGGUGUCUUACUAUGGAAUUUUUCUUCAAAUACAAAGCAGGUAUGGAAAAGGUAGGUAUGGGACACCAAUGUGUUGGUUUCUGUUUUAAAGCCAGCUGUUAAAAUGAACUGUUGUACAGUACUGCUGCCCAAUAUUGAGGAGCUUAAAAUGUCAUUUAACUGGGUUAAAUGUGUCUAAAGCAGAUCAAAAAUACACAGCUGGGAUUCUGUUUUCAAGUCCAAAAUUUGAUCCAAUUUAUGUGACAGGAGAUAAAUAAAGAUUUCUGGUCUCUACAGGUAUUUGUUAGUUAAAAUUUCAAAAGUGAUUGUGCACAUUUUCACCAUCUUAUAUCCAAAAUACACUUGCAAAAUGUUUGCCUGAAAAAUCAGGUAACUUGGCAUGCUGAAAGGAAACUGCUUGAGGAAAUGUGGAUUGGGUUUUAUUUAUUAUUUGUCCUGUGAGUGCACAAAGGUUUGAAGAAGCAUUUAUUUAUUGAAACAAGACUAUGAUUAAAAUUUUUCAUCUAGAUCUUAAAUUUUCAUUUAAAACACAUCCCUGUUUCUUACACCAGCUACAAACCAAAACCAAUAACCUGACAUACGUGCUGAAAAUUAAUUAUUUUUUCAGUCCUUGCACAGGCUUUGCAGUAGUGUUGUUUAUGCAAGGAAACAGACACGAUAUAAUCAUAAUCCUUAAAACUAAAUAUUUUUAGAUAAUCAUACUGAAGAUAUUAGCAGCCCAAAUUACAGCCUAAUGACCCAGGAAUAUCACAUUUAAAACUUUUUUCUUCUUAAAUGACAUAGUGUAUGCAAGCAUUUAAGUAUUUUUACUUAAAAUUUUUACUUAUUUCUGUAUGUGAAAUGAUACAUUUUAUUAUUUGUGAUUCUCUGCUGGAACUCCAAGGUAGUUUUCAGACUGACACAAUCUGGGAACUAAGUUCUAUUUGAAUUGGUGUGGAAUUUUGGCUCUAUAAGUCUUAAGAACCAAUCAGCAUCUUUGACACCAAAAUUUUUUAUAUAGUGGGUGAGCAUCACCCUUUAAAAGGCAGUACCAAAUAGAUGGAUAGCCAUCAGGUUUGGUGCUAGUGGGCUGAAAUCACAGGUACCUACUCUAGUUUUUUAGAAUGACUAAAACUGACUGUUGACUUUGUAAAUAUUACUCCAAAGCAUUUAAAAUUACAAGCCAAAUUCAAACCUGAUUAAGAGCCAUACAGCUGUACUCAUAUUCAAACCUAGAGGGCAGCAAAAGCUUAAAAAACCCCACCCUCUCAGCUGUUAUCCUCUUCAAGUCAAAUUUCCUCUGAGUACAUGCAUCCCACAAAAAUUAAUUCACCUGUAAUAAUGCUGUUAAUUUCUGCCUUAAUAUCUAUUUGAUGCCAUCAGUCAUGUUUCCAUAUUUAGAAUUGAAUUCUGUGUCCUACAGGAAUAUUUAUUAAGUCUCACAUCUGUGGUGGUGUUUGCCAUCCAUGCAUGCAUACUGGGGACUGUGGGGAGGAGGGCAAAAAAAGUGAAAACCAGAAAAAUGAACCCUGAUCAGUUUUAGAAGCCGAACAGAAAAUGGAGAGUGGGCAUUAGACAGAGAUGAUAAUACUAGAAAUCAGCAAAGAUUUAAAUCCCUGUAAGGGCUGUUGAUUUUUUCUUGGAGAUGCUCAGUACACAUCAGGCCCCUACUAUAUUUUUCACUUCAUAAAUGCCAUGGAUGGAUGAAGAGGUCACUGUUACAGUCUGAGCUCUCCAAAUCACACUUGCUAUUUAAGAUCAGUAAUGCAGCCUAAGUUCAUAUCAGUGAACAUGCUAAAGGAAGUCUGAGCCUGAAAUAGCGUGUCUCCAGACGAGAUGUGUUUGUCCUUUAUAAGGCAGCUUUGUCUAAUACUCAGCUGCACAAGAAUGGUGGAAUUGGGACUGCUUAGGUAAAGAUAUUCGAUGGAUGUGAAUGUGGUGGGAGGAGCAGAUGAAUUUUUCCUAAUGUUAUACCUUUUGCCAUAUACAAGCAGCUUUUUUUAGAAUUUGGAAUAAAUUAUCAUUUCUAAUGAUCCAUCUGAAUCUUAAAACUCUGAAACAUGCUGUAUGAAGAGUAGGGAGACAGACUAUUUCUGGAUCUCAGUUUUAUAUAAAUAUAUAGCAAGAUCCUAACAACUGAGUUCACUGAUUCUUCUUAUAUAGCAUCAUUAAAACAUAGAGAAUACAGCAUGCUGAACUUCUGCAGAAUACAUUAAAAAUAAAAAUGAGUCAAGCCUUGGGCAGAGGAGAUGUAACACACGAAUACCCAAGCUGGCUCACUAGACAAGGAUUGCAAGCUGGAGGGUUGGUUACCAACAGCAAGUGCACGGGUAAGUCUUGGUUCUAACAAGCUGAUCUUUUCCUCCACUAACUUACUUUUGAUUUGCUGUGUCGUAUAAGUGCAGAAAGUAGUCUGUUGGACUCUCCCAUCACACCUGCGUGAUCCUUGGCUUCACACCACUCCACCAAUCGUUCCACCAGUUUUACGUUUUUGCCCAGCUGUUCAGCUGCUUCUGCUACAUGGUGCCGGAGCCAACAACACAACAAAAAGGUUGUCACUUUUUUAAAGCAAGUGCUAGAAAAACAAGCUGAAAGUUAUUAACUUGGAGGAGUUAGAAGAACUUCACUAGCCUGCACUACUAGUGGGAAAAGUCUAGGUUGCAUUGAAGCAAGUAAAGCCAGCCAAAUGAAAUAAAAAGAAAAAAUAAGUCCAGAGAAACAUUCAUAAUCCAGAUUUGUAACAACUUAUCAGCCCAGUUAAUGAAGCUUGUGCACUGAUUAAGAGCAGGGAAAAUACAGGUGAUAUCACGCUCCCCGCUGAGCUGUGAGCCAGCUCAAGAAUUAAAAACCAGGAGGGACUGCUGCCAGAAGGGAGCACUGUGGUCAGUUAGAUCAGGUUUGAUAGACUGUAAGUCACUACGUUUCUUUAAAAAAUUUCUAUUUCACAUCCAAUUGCUUUGCUAGAAUUUGAAUGGAUCUUUUGAAAAAAUCUGUAGGACUGAGUCAAAAAUAAAUACACAAAAAUAAAUACACAGCUAAUUUACCUCAUGAACUAUUUCUGGUUUUUAGCAGAUUUCUGAUUUUAUAAAUCCUCAUCCUGGAGUAAGUUGGUAACUAAAAGGUGAGUUUUCUUUUUGGAAUUGCAGUCUGUCAAUUAAUAGAGUAUUAUCCUGUUUCAUGGACUGAGGUACAGCCAGGGAAUACAGUAAGUGAACAGCAAAACAGGAGUGGUAGCUCAAAACAUGCCUCAAUACACACUUCUAAUGUGACAGUGUAAAGAAGUUCAAAAGUAAAUAAGCAUUGGACACCUAUUUUGAGAGUCCCUGGUCGUCAGUUUAGGAGUUCUGAAAAAAAAAUCAACCCAUAUUCCUCUCCUUUUGCAUAUGUAUUAGAUUUAUUCCAUGAUUUCAGGAAUGAAAUUUAGAAAAACUCUGCUUCUCUCUUUUAAGAAUCUUGGCAGCAUAUCACAGACUGAACCAAAGAGAAUCACUUUAUACAUAGAGAACAGUUUAUUUUUACCUUGUGCAUCUAUUAACAUUCUUAAUGUUCCCAGCAGCUUGAACUGAACGGGGGGCAUCUCCGAUCUGAGAAAUUUCAAUACAGCUUCUGCAACGCCAGCUGAUAGCAUCUUAGCCUUAUUUACAACUGCAUGAAUAAAGAACAGGGAUUGAUCUCAAAAACAUUUCUGGAAGAUGCAGUUUAUUUCAGAGGUGGUCUUGCAGCAAAUUUUCAGAUGUGGUUUGAGAAAGAGGUUGUGAACACAGACUUCAGGGAUUAACUCUUCCACAGAUUCAUGGUCUUUAGUGAAAUUUAUGAGAACACCAUGUCAGACACCAAAGAGUUGUUGAAGUUGUCAAAUUUCAGGUAAGUACAAAUUGUACUAGCGCAUGCAUUGAAUGCCAUUUUACCUCUGGCAGAUGUGUCAGUCACUACUACACUCUCCUACUUCAUUCCAAACUGACUGGAAAAAUCUGUCUUUCAAUAGGAAAACUGGGGAGAGAGGGAGAUGGAAUGGUUCUACAGAAAAAAAAAUUCUGGGAAUAGGAGAACUCAAGUUACUGACAGGGCAACCCUGCGAGUCACAAAGCUGCACAGGAAGCAAGACCUUUGAAAAUAAAAGGCUGCCAGCAGCUAUUUGCCAUGUUAAGCCUGGGCUUACCAUACAAAUUCUGGACCUGACAUUUACAUCUGUCAUCAUCACCAACAGCAGGCUCUUUCUCUAGCAAAGUCUACUAAGCAUUUUAAGAGAAAAGUAUCGGGCAUCUCACUGGUAUGGAGACAAUUUUUAGUUCUGAUAAAUGAAAAAUACCUAAGUGGUUCAGUCUUAGCUGGAGGGACUGCCAGCAAUUAGUUCUCUCACUGCCCUAGGAAAACCUCAUACUGGGUAACUUAGACUAACUGCAUGUCUUGGCCUUUCACUGCAGGAAGUGUUAAUGCCCUACUAGAGCAGGAGACAAUUUUGGGGAAACAUGCAUCCAUCCUAUGAUCAGUUGCCUGACACAGGACUAAAGCGAGCCGUGCCACCUGGCAACGCUGUGUUUCAGGAUGAAACAGCACUUCUAUCACUUCCUAAGCAGAACUUUAUGCACAGCGAGCAGGAAGCAUGAAGAACUGAAUGCCUCUUCUGAAUUUAUGACUUAAAACCACAAUUUACACUGCUAUCACAAGUUGCACUAUGCCUGUGUGUUCUUUUAGGGUGAAAAGCACUGACAGUGAUGCUGUACAGAUGCAUAUACAGGUAGAUAAAAGGCAAUCAAUACAUGCGCCAGCACAAAGAAUUACCUACCUAAAACUUGAAUUUCAAUGGCUCCAUGUCCUUCGGUGACACACAUGGAAACUCCAAAGAGUAAGAUCUGAGGAGAAUAUCCCAAAUUGAGAACUUUAUUGGGGGCAUUUUAGUUAAAAAUGCUGAUUUAGGCUAAUUCGUGAUUUUGAAAAGAAUUUUAGAAAACAACUCAUCAUUUGUGUCCCAUCAAUUACUGCGAUUAUAAUGCUGAAGUAGUUUUGUAAAAAUUGAUGGCAUAUUUUUAUACCCUAGAGAAACCUGCUUGCAAUCCCCACAGCUAUGUUAAAUCAUGACAGAACAUAAAAGUGAUUGUAUUGAUUAUCUCACUAUAGGAAGGAACAUACUUUUUAUCAUACGUUAGGUUACUUUGGAAUUAAGUGUUUUGAGGUCUCAAAAGCAUGCUAGGCAUCUCUAGCUGUGAUGUAAAUGAAGCAAAACCCAUGACAAGCAUGAAAAUUAGCAAAGGUAAGUCUUAUGAGGAAGCACUACUUAAAUAUUGCUGUCAGAUCAUAAUAAUGGUGCCAUAAAUCUCCCUUUCAUUUCUUUUAUAUUUACAUAGCUUCUGCAGAUGGUCAACAGUGCACAUCAGACCCCAACAUUCAUUCCAGUUGCUAAGAGUUUUGUGAGAAUAAGAGAGGCUCAGCAGUCGUAUGAGAUAACAUCAGGAUGUCACAUUUUACAAAAGUGCUGAAGGAAAGACAAUCUUGACAGACUGAAGCUUGCUAUGAAAUGAAAUGAGGCAGCAGUGUAUAAACAUAAUUAUUUUUAUCAACAUAUAUACACUUAUAUAUAUAAAUGUAUGUAUACUUUCACAUGCGUACUGUAUCCAGUUAACUUCUGAUCUCUGAUUUGACUAUCUAAUAAGCCAAUUGGCCUAGUUUUUCCAUAAUUUCUGCAUUUCUUUAAAAAGCAUUCAUGGUCUGUUUUAGAGAUCUCAAGAGACAAUUCGUUACCUUAUGGACUGAUCCCAUUAACUUGCAAAUAGUAUUGGCUCACACGAUUAUGGGAUCUGCAGAAUAAACACUCAUAUUUCUAACUCUUUUAUGAGUUUGCAUAUGAUUGUUAGGUUUAUUAGAUUAGUUAUUAGUUUUCCCCUCUUUAUCCAAGCCUGCUUUGCUUCUUGCUCUCAAGCAGAUUAAUGGCUGCACAGAAGCUAGUAACUAAAAGCAGGGAUGACUUAUUUGUGUCUGAUUGAAUUUGGGUAAUAAAAUACAGUUAUGACAAGAGGGUUGAGAUAACCUGGGCUGAAGGCAAAGGGAUGUUUUCUAUCAGAAAAAAAACCCCUCUCAUUUCUAGCAGUGCAAUUAAAUAUCAACACUUUUUUUUUUAAGCUUGAAAGAUCUGCAAGAAAUGCCGAGGUUUGAGUUUGUUGUCUUAACAAUUGUAGUUACUAAUGAAAUGAUAAGAUACCAAGGAAGCAAAGAAAGAGAAACAGUAAGCAAAAAUAAUUCCUGAACACAAGCAGAUGACACAAGAACCUUAUAAAAGGAAGCCUAUUUUUAAAGCUUAGACAAUACUGUUAUAUGAUUUGAGUUACAAUUGCAAGAUGAGUGUCCAGAAUCAGGAUGAGAUACAAGAAUGCUCCAUUAAUGUGCUCUGUUUAGGAAAAGGAAGUCUUACUUGUAGCUGCUCCUUAGUUGCCUUUUUUGUAAAACUCAUGUAUGAUAAAUCCCUUCAAAUACUCAAGACCAAGUCUUUCAUGUUAAAAAAAAUAUAAGGCAAUCAAUAGUUACUAAUAAUGAAGUAGUAGGUAUUGGAAAAAGAGGGCAAUUAGCUGACUGAUAAUGACAAACUGGAAUCAAAUAUAACAUUUUGCUCAUAAAAUGCUGAUGAUUAGAAAAUAUUAGGGUGUUCACAGAUAAUUAGAUGCAACUAAGAACCAGCUGUGCUGUAAUGGUUCUUAUCUGGAUAGCUGGUACAAAUUAAGAGUGCAAGUGAUUAAGAGCAGUUAAAGAAAUCUUCCAAGCCCCAACCUGUAACUUUUUAACACAGCAUGCCAAGCUGGAAAAGAUUAUAGAAACAUGAAAAGAGAAUGCAGAAGUGCUGUUUCAAAGACUGAAACACUUCCUUCUUGCCUAAUAUUUUUUAUUUUUGUCCAAUUGGUUUCCAUAACUACGGACAAAGAAAUCUGUGACUCUAGGCUGCAAUUCCAUACUGCUCAUCCCUCAGCAAAACCAAUGCAGUGUUUUAUCUUCUUUGUAAGUAGCUGGGAUCAAACCUUUGCAAGUAAAUUCCAAAAAUGGUAUUCACUAAGCUUUGAGCACAAUUAACUGUCAGGGUAAUCUCAGUUUUGAUGUUUAACAGGUCAGCAAAGAACUGCAUUUAGUUGGAAUAUUAUUCACUUGCUGCUGCAAUGCAUGGAAGUUAGUGGGUGUCUUGGGCUCCUAUCCUGAAAAUUUUCGAUGGCCCAAAGGUGAUAUUUUUAGAUCAGCUCACAAUUAUGGUCCAGUUGUACUCAUGACUCUUCAAACUGGCAAGACAGGUCAACUACCUGUUUCUCCAUUUACAUGCUACAGUUAUGGUCACUGAAUUUUCUUCUAAAAAUUUAGUCCUCUAAAUCAUCCUUUUUUUAAAAUAUUGAUUUUACACAUUAUUAGGGGUUUGAUUCAAUCAUUGCCCCAGUCAGUGAUCAAAUUCACAAUGGAACUAGAGGACACAAAUCUUACACAGCCUACCCAUGAAUGCUGGGCCAAACAUGAGCUCGGUUCCUACAAAAGGGACCCUUCCUCAUGAAGACAACCAAGUCUGUGGGGUAAGGUGGAGGUUUGGUAAACCCCCAGCACUCCUCCCUGAUGUGAUGGUAGAACAUGGGGCUGGUGAGCACCUUGAUCCAAGGGCUUGGAAUACUCCUGCAUUUCUCACUUCUGACACUGCUUCAGUGGCUGCUGUGAAUAGUGUGUGUGAGAUGAAAGAUGUCCUUUAGCAGAGGGGAGAGCAGCUAGUGAAUCCUCCUGGCUGUCAUUGAACCACACAACUGCUUUAUUGAUUGCAUCAGAAUAAGCUAUCUUACUAGAUGGAAUGAGUCAUUUAUUCAAUGUUCCUAACAGUUAAGCUGUUCAGAAGCUGCUUGUUUGGGAGAUUUAUCUCAUAAUUAGUUUUCCUAGAGAAGAUCUGCUGAGAGCUUAGUCACUGAAGCAAAACUGAUAAAAGUAUCUCUACACAUCACUUUUGGAUUUGUCUGUCUUGAGCUACCAAGUAUACUGUAUGCUUGUUAGUCUUAAUUAAUACAGAGCAUUCUGGUAGCUUAGAGGUGCGAAUAUCUAUUUUCUCCAAAUAUUGUAACAAAGAAAAUACUGACUUAACACUAUGAAAUGUAAUAAAUGUGAUACUCAUGCAAAGUGGUCAAGCAAAACAGUUCCUGGAAACUAUAAGAAAUGAAGGAACUAGAAAGUUGAUAUUUGGAGAAGAUGGAAGAAAUACUGUAAACAAGAAUUUUUUGAUAAUAGAAAGAAAAGAGGACGAAAAAAACCCAGGGUAAGAACGAGCGAAAGAGAUGAGACACAUACAACAGUUAUAUUUGGAGCUAGAUGAGUAACACAAAGAGCUGAGAUCUCCAGAGAGAUAGCACAGAAAACACACAUGGAAACGAUGCUAGAAGAGAUGAUAAAGCAGAUUAAAAUGUAUACAAUAAAACCUAUGGACCAUCCUGAGAAGUAGAAAAGUUUUUGGGAGAUAGCAUUGGAAAGUGAGUUACAGCAAGUGCUGUCUUUCAGGAAAUGGUGAGUAACUAAUAAAGAAGAUAUUUCUUCCUAAGAUGAGACCUGCAAUUCAGGAAAUGGGCAUGACUGAAGACAAUGUAAUUACUAACUGUAUUUGUAAUCUGUGCCAUUUCAAGUCAGGAGAAGAGCCUCUCUGUAGCCUUCCUAAUGUAUUCCAAUUUUCUUCAUAUUUUGAAAACUUGAAAAUGUGUGAAUACUGUAAAUAUAUUUUGGCACAUUAAAACACUUGUGUGCAGAAGCAAGCUAGGUACUAUUUUGUACAACUAAUGUAGAAUGCUUACUCUCAGUGGUCAAGGGUUUCUUAUUUAAUAUACUCUCAUGGUUUUGUCCCAGUCUCUAAACAUCUCCAAUUAAUGAGAUAAUGAACAUAAACUUAUAACUUGUAGACACAGAACAGCAUUGAACAUACCUAUAAAUGAUUCCCCAUUUAUUUAAGAACAAUGUAACAUAUGGUUUUAUAUACAUUUCACAGGGAGAAAAAUUAUUUACUGUUUGGCAUACAUACCCUUAAAUAAUUAACAACACUGCAUGUCUGCACCAAAUUAGUCUUAUGAUGUUAUUUGAUACUAAUGAGAAAGAGAGGGCUUAAUGUAACCUUCUUAUUAACUUCUGUAAAUCUUUAUAUCUUUAUGCUUUGCUUUUAGACAAGUAAGUUCCAGAUAUUGAUCUUAAAACUUUACACAAUCUAUGUUAUAUGGAAUUGUAUCAGGAAUAUAUCUAGUAUUUUUGGGAACAUAAUUUUACUGAACCAGAAAAUUGUACAUGUGAAUUGAGGUCCCUGAUCUCUUCAGAAUAACUUAGUGUUAAGCAUCCACAAUGUAAACCUACAGAUGAUUUUAACUUUUUUAUCUUUUUUUUUUGUUGGGGUUGUUCUCCUGGUAGACAUAAAGCAAAUUUUCGGUGUUGUUUACCAUUCUCAUUGCUAUAGUUCAUCAGCAUGCCACAAAAGACAGUCAAGAGCUUCUCACUGGCUGGAUCUGUUUUACUGCACAGUGACCUUAAAUGGUCUACUACAAUAUGUGCACCACCUGCAUGGUCAACUGCGUUCCUGCCCUCAUCUGUAAAACAAAGAGUUACGUUAAAAAAAAAAUGAAACCAAACCCCACCGUCGAAUCCCGAACGUAACAGUAUCAUACAAAAUGAAGCUUUUAAACAGUGAAGUCAUUUCACCAGUGUUGUCAAAUUCAUCUAGAAAGAUGAAGCCCAACUUUUAGUGCAACAGAGCUAGGAAAGUGAAAACACCUACAACAAAAAUGAUUAACCACCUGGCACUAAUACCUUUGUAAAGAAGUUCAGUGAUUGAGACAGAGCUGCUGGAGCUGAUAAAUAACAUUCUGAAGAUGCACUGAGUUUUGCCAGAGGGAGGUUCUGAGCACUUGCCAUAGCUUAGUCCACAUACAGAUAAAUUACUCUUUCUGUUUUGCAGAUCAAGAAAUUGAAAUACAGAAAAUAAAUUGCUUGGAUUAUUUAAAAACAGAAAGGAGAAUAAAAUGGACAAAGCAGACGGAGGUGCUAGUUCCCAGUGGCAUCUGUUCAUGCACUCUCUCUGCCACACAGCAUGUUCUUUGUACUUCUAUAGCUGAAAAUUAGUAACACUAUUAGAUACUUUUUGUAUGGCUAAAAGAAAAAUUUACUCUUCAGCUAUAAAAGACUACAACAUUCUGAAGGGUUGUAAAUAACAUACCAUAAUCUUUGUAUGGAACUCUUCCUAUGUAACAAAUCAAAUUUGAUGCAACAGUGUAGGAAUAAAGGAAAAAUAGGCCUUCUAUUACAGUAAUCAUCAAUACUGCUUCCUUUCCCAGCAGUAAGCAAUAAGCAAUAGACAACAGUCAAUAGACUGAAUUCCAGGGCUUCCAAAAGAAGAGAUUUCCAUGUGAUCUACCACUGGAAUCAGCUGGGAAAUCUGGACUAAAACCUUCAGGGGAAGGAGGAGGGAAUCACUAAAGUUUUGAAUAUAACAAAAAACCCCAACCAUCUCAAUUUCUUCAUGGCCCCAAAGUAGAUCUCCUCUUUUCCUUGUUAUUCACCACUCUACCAUCCCUCCUCUCUCUCCCCAUCAUAUGUGCAGGUCAAGCUACCAAGUUUUCAUCAUUCUGCAGUGUAUUCAGCAUGAAACCCAAGGCUGUACACAUUUACAAUAUGAUCUUCCACUGUAAAAUGUUCCUGAGCUCAGCAAAAAGAAGCUUCUACAUCUUCCAAUUCUUGUUAAUACUAUUAGCAAACUAUAUAUACCCCUUAUACUGUAUAUAAAAAACAGGUUUCCAAAUAUUGCAUAUAGGGACUUCAGAAAAUCUGCCAAAUGGAGCUGAAGGAAGGGUAAUUCUUGGCAGGUCCUAAAAAAGUAGUAAGAGUUUUACAGCAUAAAUUCACUGCCAUGACCGUUUCCACUUUGGAUAGGAUCAGGGUUUCAGAAAAGUGUGUUUUGCUGAAGGCAUGUCUAUUUAAUUUUGAAAAAGGAAGAACUGGAAUCUAUUAAACAAUUAAAGUCAAGGUAGGACUCUGUGUCAAGGAACAACUAUGAAAAAAAGGACAAACAGAAAAGAAAUUUUUCAGAUCCUUGAUGUCAUAACGAACAUAGCUCUAAUGCUGAAACAAAUGGAAGUCCUACAUCAAAAUACAGUGAAGCAAUAUAUUCAGGUGUUCAGACUCAGUGCUUACAUCUACCAAAUUAGAAUAGAAUAAAAUGUAUUUUGAGUUGGAAUAUUCAAGCAUUCUAUUUUAUGUAUCAUCUUCUGGUAUUUUUUACUAGGAAAUCUAUGCAAAUACAUGAUUUUGUAUUUAACUCAUCUGUUCUGUGAGUAAAAACAGGUGUGAAAAAUGAAUCACUGAUUCUGGAUCAGAUGGACUGACUGUGGUCCUCAAAUUACUAUAAUGCAACUUAAAUAAACAAACAAAGAUGAUAGUGUCAGAUAAGAAUCACAUGUCAAGCUCAACCCUGUGUCCUGAUGUUGAUGAAAUUAAUGUAAAAUAUGUAAGAAAAGUAUAAUAGAAAGGUAGAGUUAGGUAAGUGUUUGGAAGCAAGUGUUAAAACACCAAGAAAAAUAGUUACAAGCUAAGUUCCUUACCUGCACAGAAUUUGGCAGAGCUCUACUGAAAAUUACUGUGUGAUAAUAUUAUCUCUCGUUUGUUAAAAACUGCUGUACAGUCUCUCACUUCAAAUACAUGACAAAACUCUUACCCACACAAGGUUUUUGUUAGGUAAACAAGGUAAACAGAUAACCAGAUUCUGCUGUACAGACAGAGAAAGUGAAGCAGGAAGAUUCAGAAACAAAUCUCAGUCCAAGAACUGUCUGUCUUUAUGGUAUACUCAACUGUUAGGUACAAAUGAACCUCAGAAGGUGGCAGGCUGUAAGAGCCAGCCUUUGAAAGGACUACAUAUGCUGGUAGACUUGUAAAGGAGAUGCUGUAACUGAGUUUGGUGCGCUUCCUAUUUCCUGUGCUUUCCCUCUUCCCUUUGUGGCUGCUUCUCUGCCCCAGGCAGCUGGGUGAAGAACAGACCUGGGUGAGUGCUAUAAUUAGGAUCUCCUGGUGCUGCCUUCUUUGCCCAAGACGAUUAUCUCAGCUCAUUAGGGCAGGGCCACAAAGAAUCCUGUGCCAGAUGUAGGAGGAAAACCCUGAAGGUCCUGCCUACCCACUGCCAGCACUGCUGUGACACUCUGCUGCAUCCCCAAGCCGAAGGCGUACUCCUGACUGAGAAUGCUUCGUGUGCGUUUCACCAACUCGGUUCUCUCUACUCCUCUGUCGCUAAGGAACAGAUUUUGCACACAGGAAUACUCAUCAAACUCCAAAUCAUUUACAGUCAAAACAAGCCCACAGCAUGUUGCUGUGUCUUGUUCUCAGUCCAACUAUUACCUUGCAGUUCAGCAGCUCUAUGAACUCCCACACUUAACGUGCUUCCAAGCCUCCCAGAAGCUGUGUUGAUUUUUUUUCCUGUGACCUUUUUAAAUAAACAUUUGCCAUUCCUAAGAGAA